UGGGGAAUAUUGCACAAUGGAGGGAACUCUGAUGCAGCGACGCCGCGUGAGUGAUGAAGGAAUUCGUUUCGUAAAACUCUGUUCUAUGGGAAGAAAAGGACUGUACCAUAGGAGAAAGCUCCGGCUAAAUACGUGCCAGCAGCCGCGGUAAUACGUAUGGAGCGAGCGUUGUCCAGAAUUAUUGGGCGUAAAGGGUGCGCAGGCGGCUUUACAAGUUGGAUGUGAAAUAUUGUGGCUCAACCACAAACGUGCAUCCAAAACUGCAAAGCUUGAGUUAAGGAGAGGUAAGUGGAAUUCCGGGUGUAGCGGUGGAAUGCGUAGAUAUCAGGAAGAAUACCGGUGGCGAAGGCGACUUACUGGACUUAAACUGACGCUCAGGCACGAAAGCGUGGGGAGCAAACAGG
rnacentral:rRNA from 1 species